UGCCAGCAGCCGCGGUAACACGGGGGGCGCAAGCGUUAUUCGGAAUUAUUGGGCGUAAAGGGCGCGCAGGCGGUCUUGUCAGUCAGGUGUGAAAGCCCGGGGCUCAACCCUGGAAGUGCAUUUGAAACAGCAAGGCUUGAGUACUGGAGAGGAGAGCGGAAUUCCUGGUGUAGAGGUGAAAUUCGUGGAUAUCAGGAGGAACACCGAUGGCGAAGGCAGCUCUCUGGACAGAUACUGACGCUGAGGCGCGAAGGCGUGGGGAGCAAACAGGAUUAGAUA
rnacentral:rRNA from 1 species